UGAACUGGUCACAGGGGAAUACCGCAUAAUAAGGAAUAGAAGCACAAAGGUUUCUACAUAUAAGAGAGCAAAGCUUUAAGGAUUCUUCACAGUACAGAAAUUUCUGAUAAAUAUUUAGAUUGGGGCAUUAUAUCGACGAUGAAGAUGACUGCUUUGAAGAUACAAGCACUUCUUCCUCGUCUUAAUGUGUGAAAGAUAAGCUUGGUUUGUUAUCACAGUACAACGAUAUGAACCUUUAUGUAGAGAGUAUAAGCAGUAAAAAUAUUGGAUCGGCAAAAUAAA